rnacentral:tRNA from 1 species
UACCAUUGGGCUCUCCGUUAUUUUAGCCACAGUGUCCUUCUGACUACCCCAGAUAACGCCAGACCAUGAGA